GACGAACGCUGGCGGCGUGCCUAAUACAUGCAAGUAGAACGCACAGUUUAUACCGUAGCUUGCUACACCAUAGACUGUGAGUUGCGAACGGGUGAGUAACGCGUAGGUAACCUGCCUGGUAGCGGGGGAUAACUAUUGGAAACGAUAGCUAAUACCGCAUAAUAUUAAUUAUUGCAUGAUAAUAAAUUGAAAGGUGCAAUUGCACCACUACCAGAUGGACCUGCGUUGUAUUAGCUAGUAGGUGAGGUAACGGCUCACCUAGGCGACGAUACAUAGCCGACCUGAGAGGGUGAUCGGCCACACUGGGACUGAGACACGGCCCAGACUCCUACGGGAGGCAGCAGUAGGGAAUCUUCGGCAAUGGACGAAAGUCUGACCGAGCAACGCCGCGUGAGUGAAGAAGGUUUUCGGAUCGUAAAGCUCUGUUGUAAGAGAAGAACGGGUGUGAGAGUGGAAAGUUCACACUGUGACGGUAUCUUACCAGAAAGGGACGGCUAACUACGUG
rnacentral:rRNA from 1 species